rnacentral:rRNA from 1 species
CGAGAGGGGGCGAGCGUUGUUCGGAAUUACUGGGCGUAAAGGGCGCGUAGGCGGCCUGCUAAGUCGAACGUGAAAUCCCCGGGCUCAACCCGGGAACUGCGUCCGAGACUGGUUGGCUCGAAUCCGGGAGAGGGAUGUGGAAUUCCAGGUGUAGCGGUGAAAUGCGUAGAUAUCUGGAGGAACACCGGUGGCGAAGGCGACAUCCUGGACCGGUAUUGACGCUGAGGCGCGAAAGCCAGGGGAGCAAACGGGAUUAGAUACCCCGGUAGUCCUGGCCCUAAACGAUGAAUGCUUGGUGUGGCGGGUAUCGGAUCCCUGCCCGUGCCGAAGCUAACGCAUUAAGCAUUCCGCCUGGGGGAGUACGGUCGCAAGGCUG